rnacentral:rRNA from 1 species
AUGGCGCCGGGGUUCACCAAGUUUGAUGUGGAGAAAUUUGAUGGCACGGGUAACUUCGGUCUAUGGCAGACAAGAGUCAAGGAUAUUCUGGCGCAGCAAGGAAUCUUAAAGGGUUUGCGGGAGACGAAGCCGACCAAGGUUGACAACGAUGCAUGGGAGGAUAUGCAAGUGCAGGCGGCCGCUGCCAUACGGCUUUGUCUUGCAGAUUAG